CGCCGCGUGGAGGAUGACGCAUUUCGGUGUGUAAACUCCUUUUAUAUGUCAAGAAAAUGACGGUAGCAUAUGAAUAAGCACCGGCUAACUCCGUGCCAGCAGCCGCGGUAAUACGGAGGGUGCAAGCGUUAUUCGGAAUCACUGGGCGUAAAGGACGCGUAGGCGGGUUAGAAAGUCAGGUGUGAAAGCCUACAGCUCAACUGUAGAACUGCACUUGAAACUCCUAACCUAGAGUAUGGGAGGGGGAGAUGGAAUUAGUGGUGUAGGGGUAAAAUCCGUAGAUAUCACUAGGAAUACCGAAAGCGAAGGCGAUCUCCUGGAACAUUACUGACGCUAAGGCGUGAAAGCGUGGGGAGCAAACAGGAUUAGAUACCCUGGUAGUCCACGCCCUAAACGAUGUUCACUAGUCGUCGGGAUGCUAGUCAUCUCGGUGAUGCACUUAACAGAUUAAGUGAACCGCCUGGGGAGUACGGUCGCAAGAUUAAAACUCAAAGGAAUAGACGGGGACCCGCACAAGUGGUGGAGCAUGUGGUUUAAUUCGAAGAUACGCGAAGAACCUUACCUAGCCUUGACAUUGAUGGAAUCUUUCAGAGAUGAGAGAGUACCCUUCGGGGAGCCUGAAAACAGGUGCUGCACGGCUGUCGUCAGCUCGUGUCGUGAGAUGUUGGGUUAAGUCCCGCAACGAGCGCAACCCUCGUCCUUAGUUGCUAGCAGUUCGGCUGAGCACUCUAAGGAGACUGCCUUCGCAAGGAGGAGGAAGGUGAGGACGACGUCAAGUCAUCAUGGCCCUUAUGGCUA
rnacentral:rRNA from 1 species